UUCGCAAUGCCCGAAAGGGUGACGAAGCGACGCCGCGUGCGGGAAGAAGGCCUUCGGGUUGUAAACCGCUGUCGGGAAUUAAGAAAUGCAAGGGUGUUAACAGCAUCCUUGCUUGACUAAGGCUCCGGAGGAAGCCACGGCUAACUCUGUGCCAGCAGCCGCGGUAAUACAGAGGCGGCAAGCGUUGUUCGGAAUUAUUGGGCGUAAAGAGCACGUAGGCGGCUGUGUAAGUCGGUUGUGAAAGCCUUCCGCUCAACGGGAGAACGGCAUCCGAUACUGCAUGGCUUGAGUGCGGGAGGGGAGAGUGGAACUUCUGGUGGAGCGGUGAAAUGCGUAGAUAUCAGAAGGAACGCCGGCGGCGAAAGCGGCUCUCUGGACCGUAACUGACGCUGAGUGUGCGAAAGCUAGGGGAGCAAACGGGAUUAGAUACCCCGGUAGUCCUAGCCGUAAACGAUGGGCACUAAGUAGAGGGGUUUU
rnacentral:rRNA from 1 species